rnacentral:rRNA from 1 species
UACGUAGGGCGCAAGCGUUGUCCGGAUUCACUGGGUGUAAAGGGUGCGCAGGCGGAUUGGCAAGUCAGAGGUGAAAUCUCACGGCUUAACCGUGAAACUGCCUUUGAUACUGCUAAUCUUGAGUUCGGGAGAGGUUGAUGGAAUUCCAGGUGUAGCGGUGAAAUGCGUAGAUAUCUGGAAGAACACCAGUGGCGAAGGCGGUCAACUGGCCCGUAACUGACGCUCAUGCACGAAAGCGUGGGUAGCAAAC